rnacentral:tRNA from 1 species
GUCCACAUAGCUUAACACCAAA